AUGAACGCUAGCGACAGGCUUAACACAUGCAAGUCGAGGGGCAGCACAGGUAGCAAUACCGGGUGGCGACCGGCGCACGGGUGAGUAACGCGUAUGCAACUUGCCUAUCAGAGGGGGAUAACCCGGCGAAAGUCGGACUAAUACCGCAUGAAGCAGGGGCCCCGCAUGGGGAUAUUUGCUAAAGAUUCAUCGCUGAUAGAUAGGCAUGCGUUCCAUUAGGCAGUUGGCGGGGUAACGGCCCACCAAACCGACGAUGGAUAGGGGUUCUGAGAGGAAGGUCCCCCACAUUGGUACUGAGACACGGACCAAACUCCUACGGGAGGCAGCAGUGAGGAAUAUUGGUCAAUGGCCGAGAGGCUGAACCAGCCAAGUCGCGUGAGGGAUGAAGGUUCUAUGGAUCGUAAACCUCUUUUAUAAGGGAAUAAAGUGCGGGACGUGUCCCGUUUUGUAUGUACCUUAUGAAUAAGGAUCGGCUAACUCCGUGCCAGCAGCCGCGGUAAUACGGAGGAUCCGAGCGUUAUCCGGAUUUAUUGGGUUUAAAGGGUGCGUAGGCGGCCUUUUAAGUCAGCGGUGAAAGUCUGUGGCUCAACCAUAGAAUUGCCGUUGAAACUGGGGGGCUUGAGUAUGUUUGAGGCAGGCGGAAUGCGUGGUGUAGCGGUGAAAUGCAUAGAUAUCACGCAGAACCCCGAUUGCGAAGGCAGCCUGCCAAGCCAUUACUGACGCUGAUGCACGAAAGCGUGGGGAUCAAACAGGAUUAGAUACCCUGGUAGUCCACGCAGUAAACGAUGAUCACUAGCUGUUUGCGAUACACUGUAAGCGGCACAGCGAAAGCGUUAAGUGAUCCACCUGGGGAGUACGCCGGCAACGGUGAAACUCAAAGGAAUUGACGGGGGCCCGCACAAGCGGAGGAACAUGUGGUUUAAUUCGAUGAUACGCGAGGAACCUUACCCGGGUUUGAACGCAUUCGGACCGAGGUGGAAACACCUUUUCUAGCAAUAGCCGUUUGCGAGGUGCUGCAUGGUUGUCGUCAGCUCGUGCCGUGAGGUGUCGGCUUAAGUGCCAUAACGAGCGCAACCCUUGCCACUAGUUACUAACAGGUUAGGCUGAGGACUCUGGUGGGACUGCCAGCGUAAGCUGCGAGGAAGGCGGGGAUGACGUCAAAUCAGCACGGCCCUUACAUCCGGGGCGACACACGUGUUACAAUGGCGUGGACAAAGGGAUGCCACCUGGCGACAGGGAGCGAAUCCCCAAACCACGUCUCAGUUCGGAUCGGAGUCUGCAACCCGACUCCGUGAAGCUGGAUUCGCUAGUAAUCGCGCAUCAGCCAUGGCGCGGUGAAUACGUUCCCGGGCCUUGUACACACCGCCCGUCAAGCCAUGGGAGCCGGGGGUACCUGAAGUCCGUAACCGAAAGGAUCGGCCUAGGGUAAAACUGGUGACUGGGGCU
rnacentral:rRNA from 1 species